rnacentral:rRNA from 1 species
AGAGUUUGAUCCUGGCUCAGGAUGAACGCUAGCGACAGGCUUAACACAUGCAAGUCGAGGGGCAGCGGGGGCGUAGCAAUAUGCCUGCCGGCGACCGGCGCACGGGUGAGUAACACGUAUGUAACCUGCCCUAUGCAGGGGGAUAACCCGGAGAAAUCCGGCCUAAUACCGCGUAACACCUUAGGGGAGCAUUCUCUUGAGGUUAAAGGAGAGAUCCGGCAUAGGAUGGACAUGCGUCGCAUUAGGUAGACGGCGGGGUAACGGCCCACCGUGCCGACGAUGCGUAGGGGUUCUGAGAGGAAGGCCCCCCACACUGGUACUGAGACACGGACCAGACUCCUACGGGAGGCAGCAGUGAGGAAUAUUGGUCAAUGGCCGAGAGGCUGAACCAGCCAAGUCGCGUGAGGGAAGAAUGUCCUAAGGAUUGUAAACCUCUUUUGUCGGGGAGCAAAAAGGCUCUGCGGAGUCGUAUUGAGAGUACCCGAAGAAAAAGCAUAGGCUAACUCCGUGCCAGCAGCCGCGGUAAUACGGAGGAUGCGAGCGUUAUCCGGAUUUAUUGGGUUUAAAGGGUGCGCAGGCGGCGUGUCAAGCAAGCGGUAAAAUAGCGGGGCUCAACCCCGUCGAGCCGUUUGAACUGGCGCGCUUGAGUUCAGGCGAGGUAGGCGGAAUUCGUGGUGUAGCGGUGAAAUGCAUAGAUAUCACGAAGAACUCCGAUUGCGAAGGCAGCUUACCAGUCUGCGACUGACGCUCAGGCACGAAAGUGUGGGUAUCGAACAGGAUUAGAUACCCUGGUAGUCCACACAGUAAACGAUGAGCGCUAGGUGUCCGGGUCGCAUGAGACUUGGGUGCCCGAGCGAAAGCGUUAAGCGCUCCACCUGGGGAGUACGCCGGCAACGGUGAAACUCAAAGGAAUUGACGGGGGCCCGCACAAGCGGAGGAACAUGUGGUUUAAUUCGAUGAUACGCGAGGAACCUUACCCGGGCUCAAACGACUCAGGAAUAUAUUGGAAACGAUGUAGCCAGCAAUGGUCUGAGUCGAGGUGCUGCAUGGUUGUCGUCAGCUCGUGCCGUGAGGUGUCGGCUUAAGUGCCAUAACGAGCGCAACCCCUACCGCCAGUUGCCAACGGGUAAAGCCGGGAACUCUGGCGGGACUGCCGGCGCAAGCUGCGAGGAAGGCGGGGAUGACGUCAAAUCAGCACGGCCCUUACGUCCGGGGCGACACACGUGUUACAAUGGCAGGUACAGCGGGAAGCCACCUGGUGACAGGGAGCGGAACCCGAAAGCCUGUCUCAGUUCGGAUUGGAGUCUGCAACUCGACUCCAUGAAGCUGGAUUCGCUAGUAAUCGCGCAUCAGCCAUGGCGCGGUGAAUACGUUCCCGGGCCUUGCACUCACCGCCCGUCA